AGUGAACGCUGGCGGCGGGCCUAAUACAUGCAAGUCGAACGGACGGACGGUGAGCUUUCUCCUCUACGGGUAGCGGCUGACGGGUGAGUGAGGCAUAGAUAACCUACCUAUAAUACGUGGAUGACUUCGUGGAGCCGGAUCUAAUACUAGCUAAUAUGUUGAACGGCUUAGUUCAAGAGUUAUUGGCGGUUUUCGUGUCACUUUUAGAUGAUGUCGGGCCGCAUUAGCUAGUUGGUAAGGUAACGGCUUACCAAGGCGACGAUGCGUAGCCGACCUGAGAGGGUGAUCGGCCACACUGGAACUGAGACACGGUCCAGACUCCUACGGGAGGCAGCAGUAGGGAAUAUUCCGCAAUGGGCGAAAGCCUGACGGAGCAACGCCGCGUGAGUGAUGAAGGUCUUCGGAUCGUAAAACUCUGUUAUUAGGGAAGAAAAAAUGUGUAAGUAACUCCGCACGUCUUGACGGUACCUAAUCAGAAAGCCCCGGCUAACUACGUG
rnacentral:rRNA from 1 species